rnacentral:telomerase_RNA from 1 species
ACACGUGCACUUUCAAACCGGCCCAGCUGCGGCACGGCCGCCCUCGUGCGGUCUGGUAACCCUAAUCGUUCCUUGACCGCCCCCUCGUCGGGCGUUCAACCGCGAGGCCGGGAUUUCUACAGGGGUCUUCCCCGGCAGUGGCCAAGCAAACCCCGAAACGGGCCGGUUGCAGGGGCACCACAGACUGACUCGAGGGGUAGCGGAGCGUGGCGCAUCGCCGGUGCGGCGCAGGCGCCACGAGUGGUUCGUCCACGCCCUCUGCUCGUGCCGGAGCAGUCUACAGGGGUGCAAUUUCGUUCUUUUUUU